rnacentral:tRNA from 68 species
GGGGAUAUGGCGAAAUUGGUAGACGCUACGGACUUAAAAUCC